UACGUAGGGAGCAAGCGUUGUCCGGAAUCAUUGGGCGUAAAGCGCGCGUAGGCGGCCCUGUAAGUCCGUUGUGAAAGUCAAAGGCUCAACCUUUGAAAGCCGAUGGAUACUGCAGGGCUAGAGUCCGGAAGAGGCGAGUGGAAUUCCUGGUGUAGCGGUGAAAUGCGCAGAUAUCAGGAAGAACACCUAUGGCGAAAGCAGCUCUCUGGGACGGUACUGACGCUGAGACGCGAAAGCGUGGGGAGCGAACAGG
rnacentral:rRNA from 1 species